UGCCAGGCACGCCACCGACUACUGCUUCCGGGGCACGCCGGCCCUGACAGGCGCAUGCGUGAAGCCUCGUGGUCGUCUCCGCGCUUAUAGCUGGGUACCGUUUGCGAGUGCGGUGGGGCCACAGAGGAAACCCUCCAGUCAGUCACGGCCCCAGCACGGUUGUGGGAAGCCGGCGCCUGUCUUCCCUCGCAGCGAGCGGCCUUGGACACUGCGCCGGUAGAGCAAAGGACCGUAAGAUCCACCUCCCUCUUCCUACCAGCUGGCGUCAGAUCAAGACUGUGCUGCAGCGCAGAGCUCGCCGUAGCCUUUGCAGCAGUUGUGUGGACUCAGUUUGUUCUAAGCACGUGUAAUGACCGCUGGACAGGGGAGGGGCUGUCUGAACUGCCACUGACUCUUGGUUGCCCUGAGACGUUUCUGGAAUUUCACCAGCGAUUUAAGAGAGAGGGGAAAGACAGAGAUCUUCCAUCUGCUGGUUCACUCCCCAAACGGCUACAACAGCUGAAGGUAGGCCAGGCCAAAUCCAGGACCCAGGAGCUUCUUCUGGGUCUCUGACAAGGGUGCAGGGACCCAAAGAUUUGGGCCAUCUUCCACUGUUUUCCCAGGCACAUCAACAGGGAGCUGGAUCAAAGUGGAGCAGCCAGGAUUUGAACCAGCGUCUGUUUGGAAUGCCAGCACUGUUGAUGGUGGCUUUACCCACUGUGCCACAGCAUGGACCCCAAGACUCAUCUAUCAAGAGGACUUGAGAAAAGCUGCUGAUUAUCAAGAUGUCUUCUGCAUCCUGUAAUGCUCUGCUGGAUGACACAGAAGACACUGUGUCACGGGAGGAGUCAAAGCCACAAGACAGGCAUUUUGCAAGAAAGUACGUUGUUCCAAAGAGCAACAGAGAGAGACACAGAGAAAAACAUCUUCUAUCUGCUGGUUCACUACCUAAAUGCCCACACCUGCAAGGACUGGGCCAGGAACUUGGAACUCCUCUUGGGUCUCCCCAUGGAUG